AUACAUACAGUCGGUGGCUCUCAGACCGAACACUCGGUACUCCGGUCGCAGAAUUCCUACUUCGAAGUCAUGGAAUGUGAAUGCUAAACCUAAACUACGUCCACAUCGCUCAAAGUAAACGUAUUAUUGUAAAAACCCAGACUUGUUUAGCUUUUCUGGGCUCCGCCGUCAUCGUUUGUUUUGAUCGUUCUCAACUUGUAGGCUCGCCUCGCGUAGCAUUUAGCAGUGUCGUUACUUCCGGUCCACGUCGAAACGUGACGUCACAGUCUGGUCUGAACGGGGCUGGUCCAGACUCCAGGCAAAUGAAACAAGUCAUCAAAAACCCCUGCUCAGAUCUCGAAAAAUUGUCACGGCGCAAGAGCAUGCCGCUGCCCAUUCCUCAGUGCGCUCCGCUAAGCGCAUCUCUGGGCACGCCCUUGCGCGGGCCUCUCCUGCCGCGGCCAGCUGUCUUCAAUCUGCAAUCUACACACCUGACGCUGAUGAGGCUCCACACUUCUUAAGCCAGCGCAACCUGCAAUCCAGCGCCAGAAUGUAGCCCCCUGUAUGCGUUCCUCCGUUUCCUGAUUUCGAGCUGUGUGUCUUGUCUCCCUGAAUUCCCUCUGGUUCCCUGUCUGCCUUCCUGAAUCUCGACCUCUCGCCGGGACACGGACCUUGACGCCUCGCUCCUGCCCCUGACCUCUUGCUUGCCCACAGACCUCCGAGACUGCCUUGCCCUCCCUGACUUCCGCAUCUCUCUCAACACGCACCUUCAACAACUCCUGGUAACACUCAGUUAA